rnacentral:rRNA from 1 species
UACUCGAGUGGCGAACGGGUGAGUAACACGUGGGUGAUCUGCCCUGCACUUCGGGAUAAGCCUGGGAAACUGGGUCUAAUACCAGAUAGGAGCCAUUUUUAGUGUGAUGGUUGGAAAGUUUUUCGGUGUAGGAUGAGCUCGCGGCCUAUCAGCUUGUUGGUGGGGUAAUGGCCUACCAAGGCGGCGACGGGUAGCCGGCCUGAGAGGGUGGACGGCCACAUUGGGACUGAGAUACGGCCCAG